UACGUAGGGUGCAAGCGUUAAUCGGAAUUACUGGGCGUAAAGCGUGCGCAGGCGGUUUUGUAAGUCUGUCGUGAAAUCCCCCGGGCUCAACCUGGGAAUGGCGAUGGAGACUGCAAGGCUAGAGUUUGGCAGAGGGGGGUAGAAUUCCACGUGUAGCAGUGAAAUGCGUAGAUAUGUGGAGGAACACCGAUGGCGAAGGCAGCCCCCUGGGUCAAAAACUGACGCUCAUGCACGAAAGCGUGGGGGAGCAAACAGG
rnacentral:rRNA from 1 species